GUAGGUGGCAAGCGUUGUCCGGAAUUAUUGGGCGUAAAGCGCGCGCAGGCGGUCCUUUAAGUCUGAUGUGAAAGCCCACGGCUCAACCGUGGAGGGUCAUUGGAGACUGGGGGACUUGAGUACAGAAGAGGAAAGUGGAAUUCCACGCGUAGCGGUGAAAUGCGUAGAGAUGUGGAGGAACACCAGUGGCGAAGGCGACUUUCUGGUCUGUAACUGACGCUGAGGCGCGAAUGCGUGGGGAGCAAACAGGAUUAGAUACCCUGGUAGUCCACGCCGUAAACGAUGAGUGCUAAGUGUUAGAGGGUUUUCCGCCCUUUAGUGCUGCAGCUAACGCAUUAAGCACUCCGCCUGGGAGUACGGCCGCAGGCUG
rnacentral:rRNA from 1 species